ensembl:lncRNA
AACCCAGCCAAUGAAGACAGGGUGAGAGACAGCCUGCAGUCACUGACCCAGCCACUGAAGAGGGGGAGAGACAGCCUGCAGUCACUGAGGAACCCAGCCACUGAAGAGGGGGAGAAACAGCCUGCAGUCACUGAGGAACCCAGCCACUGAAGAGGGGGAGAGACAGCCUGCAGUCACUGAGGGACCCAGCCACUGAAGACAGGAGAAGAGACAGCCUGCAGCCACUGAGGAACCCAGCCACUGAAGACAGGAGGAGAGACAGCCUGCAGUCACUGAGGAACCCAGCCACUGAAGAGGGGGAGAGACAGCAAGGACGUCUCGCUGCUUGCUUAGCAAAGUCAACUUCCUCGUGGUUCAGCUCACACCGAGGCUCAAACCCAGGACCCCUGCUAGCACACGUGACAGCCAUCUUACCACUUGCACCAUGAGGAAAGCUAGCUGCUCGCUGGCGCUAGUGGGGACACUUCAGGCUGAGGGUGAGCUCUGAGAAAAACAGAACAUUCUCAACAUUCCAAACGUUGUACAGUGUGGAUGUAGCUGGCCGCCCUUGAGUUGAGGUCACUGCCGUGACCCUGGGACUCAUUCACAACUAUCACCACCUUCAUCUUCAUCACAAGUAUCAUGAUCAUUUCCUGGACAGGACACCCUGAACUAUAAACACAUGACUCGACUGAACACAUCCUACUAACCGUAAUGGGUGUGGAACUAUAAACAAUAACAGGUUGUUGUCUCAAUGUCCUCAAUAACCUUCACUGACCAGUUCUUUGAUUUGGAAUAUGACAUUAUAAUAACGGGGAAAAGAGACUACUAGGUGACAAAAAAAUACCCUCUUACACCAGACCACGUGACUGAUCCUCCUCUCCAUAGUACCCUCUUACACCAGACCACGUGACUGAUCCUCCUCUCCAUAGUACCCUCUUACACCAGACCACGUGACUGAUCCUCCUCUCCAUAGUACCCUCUUACACCAGACCACGUGACUGAUCCUCCUCUCCAUAGUACCCUCUUACACCAGACCACGUGACUUCAAGCCUCAACUAGCCAUCGACAACGUUGAUAAGGAAUUGGAUGUAAGCAAGUUGAGCCAGUGCCAAAGGUAUUAUAAUGAACCCCCCCACACACACACACAGACACACACAUACACACACACCAUCCCACAGGUGGGACAGACAUAUUGAUUUGCAUCUCUCUACCACUAAAGACAGCAAAUCAAACACCUGUUGAAAACUGCAGUGAUUUCCAUUCAUCUGGCCUGGCCAUUAUGUCGAGGAAGGUCACUAAUACAGCCAGCUGUUGGAAUUUACCCACACAAACAUCUGCCUCUCACAGAGAAAUAAUAGUCCUGUGUGGGUCAAUUGGUAAAAGCGUGGCACAUGGUUUCCAUGUGUUUGAUUCCAUUCCAGCCCUUAAUAUGAGCCAGUAUGUCCAAGAGUGAAUGACAUAAAGGACACCUUGGGAUAAUACAAUAUGUGAAACCUGCAGCUUGUGAAUGAACCAUUAUGCUGUACAAGGUCGUAGAUGCAUACAUAGAUUAGGAAGACCCCACACAAUGUUUAUCAGCAUAAAUAUAUUUUGUCCCUGUCUCUUUUUCCUUCCCCCUCACCAGCUGCAUCAUGUUGUUCCGUUGGGCCAGGAAGACACCCAACCAGCUGCAUCAUGUUGUUCCGUUGGGCCAGGAAGACACCCAACCAGCUGCAUCAUGUUGUUCCGUUGGGCCAGGAAGACACCCAACCAGCUGCAUCAUGUUGUUCUGUUGGGCCAGGAAGACACCCAACCAGCUGCAUCAUGUUGUUCUGUUGGGCCAGGAAGACACCCAACCAGCUGCAUCAUGUUGUUCUGUUGGGCCAGGAAGACACCCAACCAGCUGCAUCAUGUUGUUCCGUUGGGCCAGGAAGACACCCAACCAUCUGCAUCAUGUUGUUCUGUUGGGCCAGGAAGACACCCAACCAGCUGCAUCAUGUUGUUCUGUUGGGCCAGGAAGACACCCAACCAGCUGCAUCAUGUUG